GCAACUCAACAACCAUCACUCCAAUCUGACUGCAUGCCCACCUCAUUAUUCCUAGUAAAAAAAAAUCUAUAAUACAAACAAGAAAUUAACUAAAUAUCUUAUUAAAUUAAUGAAUCAUUAAAAAAUGUCAUUAACCUUCAUCAUCGUCGUAUAUCUAUUCUCCAAUUCACACUGCAAAUAAAAACCACAACUCUCACAUACUUUGACCACAUAAGCCUGUCAUCACCAUUCAUCAUCUCUUAUGGCUACCCCACUUUGAUAUUUUCCCAGAAACAUAAACAAAAAAGCUAAACAACUAUCCUUUUCUUCUUCCACACACCUUCAUACACUACUACUCUCUUUCUCUUCCUUUUUUUGUACAUGUGACACAAACCCUAAUACAAAGAAUCCAAACAAACAGAAUUCUAGGAGUAAUUGGUGGCAAGAUUGGGGGGAUUGUUAGCCGCCGAAAUCUUCUUUUUCAAAAUCAAAGAUAUGUUUUCUUAGACAUUUCUUUAUAUAUUUGGUUGACAAGAUGUGUUUUAUUAUAGUCAUAAUUAUGCUCGUGUAUAAAAUCACAUCGGAAUAGUAAUAAAUUUCUUUUCAUACACUCUAUCCUCUCUCAUAAUUCUGAUAAAAGAAAUUUUAACAAUGUUGUCUAUUUGUUAUAGUUUCAUUUAUCUGUUUUGACAAUAUAGAAUGUUAUUUAUCAAUGGAUAAAUUUUAUAUGGAUUUCUCAUUUAAUAUCUUUGACACUUUUUAUUUUGUAGGACAAAUAAAUUUACUCGUGAUUUUAUUGUCUGUGUAAUAUUUGUCUUAGAAUAAAACAAUUAUAUCUUGGUACUGGUCUCUAAUCUAUCUGGCAGGAGAGAAUGGAGAUGAGCAUGCAAAACAAAAAUAGAUUCAUGUAUAGAAAGAAAAACACUGUUUAAAGACAUGACUUUAAUUUUGAAAUUGUAUUAUAUCUUAAAACUUAGAUUAGUCUCACAUCCAGCAAAUGAA